CCGCUGUGUAUAUUUGGCUUCCUGUUGCUGUAGAAAACCGAAAGCGUCUGCAAAAUCCAAAAAAUACAGAAUCGGGCGAGAAAAAAUCUGACCUUGAAGUUCAGAUUAAAGAUUAACAAAACAACGACAAAGUUCAGUGACAAGAAAAAAACACCAUAAUGAAGUCAAAGGCAUCUGUUCCUACUGCACCAAAAGGGCGGACUGGACUUUUAUUUUUGGGUGUUAUCUUUGUAGCUGGUGGCUUAAAACUUUAUAUGGACUUUUUCUCUGAUAUGAGAAUGGUAAACCUUGAGAAUGAAGCAAAGAAAUUGAUGGUUCAAAACAAGGGGUCAGAGGACGAGCAAUCGUAACAGCCUGUUCCUUGAAGAAAAAGACAGUUUCCAACUGGUGAAGAAUGGACGUGUUCUUCGUUAGACUUUCCUCCUGUAUUUCUAAAAAGAUGUGUUCAACUGAAGAUCUUACUUCAUUGAUGGUCUUUUAAAAGCUGCCAUCAAAAUAACCUAAAUAUAUUUUGUGUACAUGUUUGGUAUUCUACUUCUAGUUGAUGCAUGUUAAAAUCUGAAGUGUUGCAAAAUCCAGAACAUACUAUCAUGCCUGUUUUUUUCUACAUUUUUAUUUGUCAUAAAUGAACACAAUGAACAAUGUUUUAUGCUCUACAAGAAUCAGAAUGAUAUAAACUCAAGGUCAGAUAAUAGUUCAGUUUAAUAUUAUCAGAUAAAUUACAUCAUGUGUGAUAAUAAGCUUGUAUUGUUGAAUACAUAUGGCAAUGGUCGAAAUAGGCACAAGUGCUGUAGUGGUAAAAUACUUUCAGGCUUGCUCAAACUCUAUAUUUUUUACGAUUUAUUUAUAUAUAUAGCAUGGUUAAAAACCAUACCCUGUACUGGCCUGUAGGUAUUCAGGGGUUCUAUAGUUCAUGAUUAAUCCAGAAAUCAGAUUUGAGAACCUGCAGACUACUGUACAAUAAUCAGCUGUAAGAGCCCCUGAAGUAUUUACGCUUGUUAACUUAAGUCUUAUGUCAAUGACUGGUGUAGGCAAUAAUUUGAUGCAUGUCAAUUGUUAUUAAUUAUAUGAAUUGAAAUAAAGAAAUCAAUCAUGUUUUGAAUAAAAAGUACCUUAAAGUA